CGUCCAGUUCGGAUUGCAGUCUGCAACUCGGCUGCAUGAAGCUGGAAUCGCUAGUAAUCGCGAAUCAGAAUGUCGCGGUGAAUACGUUCCCGGGUCUUGUACACACCGCCCGUCACACCAUGGGAGUUGGAAGCGCCCGAAGUCUGUGACCUAACCGUAAGGGAGGAGCAGCCGAAGGUGAAGCCAGUGACUGGGGUGAAGUCGUAACAAGGUAGC
rnacentral:rRNA from 1 species